UCUCUUGUAGUAUAACGGUUGAAUUACACACACACCAACUAAAUAGUUCGGACCUUCUCCUUCGGUUCGUGUGGGAUCUGGGUUCGAUUCCCAGCGAGAGAA